rnacentral:tRNA from 1 species
AAAUUAGAAACAAUAUUGUAAUUAGUUUCGACCUAAUCAUUGAUAAAUUUAACUUAUCCUAAUUUU